AGUAAGCCAUGAUUGCGCCAUUGUACUCCAGCCUGGAUGACAGAGCAAGACCCUGUCUCAAAAAGAAAAAAAGUUGAGGGAUAGGUAGAUUUCAAGGAUGGCCACCAUCAAUUCCUUCCCAUCUCUAUGUCACUUCGCCCAUCCAGAGGUGGAGUCUCUCUCCUCUACAACCGGACUUGCUUCAGCCAACAGAAUGCAGCUGAGGUGAUACUGUGCCAUUUCCAAGUCUGGCCUUUGAGAGGCUUGGAACUUUUGGGGUAAUCCAGCUGCCAUGUGAGAAUUCGAAUACCCUGAGACCAACAGGCUGUGCAGAAGCCAGAGCUAGCCAUGUGCAGAGGCCACGCAGAGGAGCCCCAGGCACCAUUCACGGUCCUUGCAGGACAAGAAGCCAGCUUUCAGAGAUUCUCCAGCCAUAACCAUCAUAAUCUGCUCGAUGCCCAACAUCUCUCUCCCAUGCUCCCUCCCUCUCUCAUACACACAUAAAGUAAAUAAAAUAAUAAAUUUCUCCCUGGCCUUCUCCAGCAGCCUAAUCUGGCAUCUGGGAUGCCUUAAACAUGUUCCUGGAUCAAUACCAUGUAGCUGUGUCCCAGGUCUACAAUACCAUGUAGAAACCUGUGUCCUAGGUCAUCUGUAAGUUCAUGAUUCAGAGGAUGGUGAAUCAAUUCAGCAGGAAAUUGCUCUCCUUUCUGCCACAAAUAUCUCUCCUAGACAAUGGAGACUGGCUUCCCCUGAUCUUGUCACUCUAAAUCUGCUUCAGAGAUCUUAACUGUAGAGCAAAAGCCCAGGUGGGUGCUUGAGGAACCACCUUCCCCUCUCACAACCACCACCAUAAUGGUGCAAAACUUAAGAAGAGUUCCCUGGAAAACUCUGUGUAACCCGAUAGACUUUAAUUCCUUUUGGUAGCGGAGAAAUCAGGCCUGCCAACAACAGACAGCUGAUCCUUACUCCCACCUGCCACUCAGGAAAAUGCAUUUCUCUGCUCAUUAAGGAGGAGGGAGAAGCCAUCAGCAAGGUACCAGGCGUUCUUGAGAUGGGUUGUUUAGAAGCCUUCCUCCUGGUGCUGCAGAAUUCUAACCCUGUUCAGAACUUUAUGUUCUCUGUUUAAGACUCAGAAUUUACUCUUCUCAUAAAUGAUGUGACCUGAAUAUCUGAUAGGAUAUUUUGAGGGGAUGGGCUGCAAUGGGGAACAGGGUACUGUCAUCACAGUAUCUUUGGAGCAAGACCUAAGAUUAAAAUGUGGCUUCUCAUA